rnacentral:rRNA from 1 species
GACGAACCGUGCGAACGUUAUUCGGAAUCACUGGGCUUAAAGCGCGUGUAGGCGGGAGGGCACGUCCGUCGCUGAAAUCCCCCGGCUCAACCGGGGAACGGGCGCGGAUACGACCUUCCUUGAGGGGCGUAGGGGGACCUGGAACUUCCGGUGGAGCGGUGAAAUGCGUUGAGAUCGGAAGGAACGCCCGUGGCGAAGGCGACCACCUGGACUGAUACUGACACUGAGGUGCGAAAGCGUGGGGAGCAAACAGG